GACGAACGCUGGCGGCGUGCUUAACACAUGCAAGUCGAACGGAAAGGCCCUGCUUUUGUGGGGUGCUCGAGUGGCGAACGGGUGAGUAACACGUGAGUAACCUGCCCUUGACUUUGGGAUAACUUCAGGAAACUGGGUCUAAUACCGUAUAGGAGCUCCUGCUGCAUGGUGGGGGUUGGAAAGUUUCGGCGGUUGGGGAUGGACUCGCGGCUUAUCAGCUUGUUGGUGGGUUAGUGGCUUACCAAGGCUUUGACGGGUAGCCGGCCUGAGAGUGUGACCGGCCAAAUUGGGACUGAGAUACGGGCCGGACUCCUACGGGAGGCAGCAGUGGGGAAUAAUGCACGAUGGACGGAAGCCGGAUGCAGCAACGCCGCGUGCGGGAUGACGGCCUUCGGGUUGUAGACCGCUUUCGCCUGUGACGAAGCGUGAGUGACGGUAAUGUAUAAAGAAGCACCGGCUAACUACGUG
rnacentral:rRNA from 1 species